AGAGUUUGAUCAUGGCUCAGAUUGAACGCUGGCGGCAGGCCUAACACAUGCAAGUCGAACGGUAACAGGAAACAGCUUGCUGUUUCGCUGACGAGUGGCGGACGGGUGAGUAAUGUCUGGGAAACUGCCUGAUGGAGGGGGAUAACUACUGGAAACGGUAGCUAAUACCGCAUAACGUCGCAAGACCAAAGAGGGGGACCUUGGGGCCUCUUGCCAUCAGAUGUGCCCAGAUGGGAUUAGCUAGUAGGUGGGGUAACGGCUCACCUAGGCGACGAUCCCUAGCUGGUCUGAGAGGAUGACCAGCCACACUGGAACUGAGACACGGUCCAGACUCCUACGGGAGGCAGCAGUGGGGAAUAUUGCACAAUGGGCGCAAGCCUGAUGCAGCCAUGCCGCGUGUAUGAAGAAGGCCUUCGGGUUGUAAAGUACUUUCGGCGGGGAGGAAGGGAGUAAAGUUAAUACCUUUGCUCAUUGACGUUACCCGCAGAAGAAGCACCGGCUAACUCCGUGCCAGCAGCCGCGGUAAUACGGAGGGUGCAAGCGUUAAUCGGAAUUACUGGGCGUAAGGCGCACGCAGGCGGUUUGUUAAGUCAGAUGUGAAAUCCCCGGGCUCAACCUGGGAACUGCAUCUGAUACUGGCAAGCUUGAGUCUCGUAGAGGGGGGUGGAAUUCCAGGUGUAGCGGUGAAAUGCGUAGAGAUCUGGAGGAACACCGGUGGCGAAGGCGGCCCCCUGGACGAAGACUGACGCUCAGGUGCGAAAGCGUGGGGAGCAAACAGGAUUAGAUACCCUGGUAGUCCACGCCGUAAACGAUGUCGACUUGGAGGUUGUGCCCUUGAGGCGUGGCUUCCGGGGCUAACGCGUUAAGUCGACCGCCUGGGGAGUACGGCCGCAAGGUUAAAACUCAAAUGAAUUGACGGGGGCCCGCACAAGCGGUGGAGCAUGUGGUUUAAUUCGAUGCAACGCGAAGAACCUUACCUGGUCUUGACAUCCACGGAAGUUUUCAGAGAUGAGAAUGUGCCUUCGGGAACCGUGAGACAGGUGCUGCAUGGCUGUCGUCAGCUCGUGUUGUGAAAUGUUGGGUUAAGUCCCGCAACGAGCGCAACCCUUAUCCUCUGUUGCCAGCGGUCCGGCCGGGAACUCAAAGGAGACUGCCAGUGAUAAACUGGAGGAAGGUGGGGAUGACGUCAAGUCAUCAUGGCCCUUACGACCAGGGCUACACACGUGCUACAAUGGCGCAUACAAAGAGAAGCGACCUCGCGAGAGCAAGCGGACCUCAUAAAGUGCGUCGUAGUCCGGAUUGGAGUCUGCAACUCGACUCCAUGAAGUCGGAAUCGCUAGUAAUCGUGGAUCAGAAUGCCACGGUGAAUACGUUCCCGGGCCUUGUACACACCGCCCGUCACACCAUGGGAGUGGGUUGCAAAAGAAGUAGGUAGCUUAACCUUCGGGAGGGCGCUUACCACUUUGUGAUUCAUGACUGGGGUGAAGUCGUAACAAGGUAACCGUAGGGGAACCUGCGGUUG
rnacentral:rRNA from 1 species